GACGAACGCUGGCGGCGUGCUUAACACAUGCAAGUCGAACGGAAAGGCCCUGCUUUUGUGGGGUGCUCGAGUGGCGAACGGGUGAGUAACACGUGAGUAAUCUGCCCUUGACUUUGGGAUAACUUCAGGAAACUGGGGCUAAUACCGGAUAGGAGCUCCCGCUGCAUGGUGGGGGUUGGAAAGUUUCGGCGGUUGGGGAUGGACUCGCGGCUUAUCAGCUUGUUGGUGGGGUAGUGGCUUACCAAGGCUUUGACGGGUAGCCGGCCUGAGAGGGUGACCGGCCCCAUUGGGACUGAGAUACGGCCCAGACUCCGACGGGAGGCAGCAGUGGGGAAUAUUGCACAAUGGGCGGAAGCCGGAUGCAGCAACGCCGCGUGCGGGAUGACGGCCUUCGGGUUGAAAACCGCUUUCGCCUGUGACGAAGCGUGAGUGACGGUAAUGGGUAAAGAAGCACCGGCUAACUACGUG
rnacentral:rRNA from 1 species